AUACGUAGGUGGCGAGCGUUAUCCGGAAUUACUGGGUGUAAAGGGUGUGUAGGCGGGGAGCCAAGUCAGAUGUGAAAAUUACGGGCUCAACCCGUAACCUGCGUCUGAAACUGGUUCUCUUGAGAGUGGGAGAGGUAAACGGAAUUCCUGGUGUAGCGGUGAAAUGCGUAGAUAUCAGGAGGAACACCGGUGGCGAAGGCGGUUUACUGGACCACAACUGACGCUGAGACACGAAAGCGUGGGGAGCAAACAGGAUUAGAUACCCUGGUAGUCCACGCUGUAAACGAUGAAUGCUAGGUGUAGGGGUCGAAGGAUUUCUGUGCCGCAGUUAACGCGAUAAGCAUUCCGCCUGGGGAGUACGAUCGCAAGAUUGAAACUCAAAGGAAUUGACGGGG
rnacentral:rRNA from 1 species